UUCCUGAUGGUCCAGUGGUUAAGCCUCCACAUUCCCAAUGCAGGAGGCCCAGGUUCAAUCCCUGGUCAGGGAA
rfam:TPA: Bos taurus chromosome 11, whole genome shotgun sequence.